rnacentral:rRNA from 1 species
AACGUAGGACACAAGCGUUAUCCGGAAUUACUGGGCGUAAAGGGCGUGCAGGCGGUUGCGUAAGUUAGGCGUGAAAGACUUCGGCUAAACCGGGGGAGGUCGUCUGAUACUGCGCAACUAGAGUAUGGUAGAGGCGUGUAGAAUUCCGGGUGUAGUGGUGAAAUGCGUAGAGAUCCGGAGGAAUACCAGUGGCGAAGGCGGCACGCUGGGCCAUUACUGACGCUAAGACGCGAAAGCAUGGGUAGCGAACGGG